rnacentral:sRNA from 1 species
GUUUAGUUCAAUUAUAAAACUUAAUUAGGAUUUAGGAAAGGAAAAUAGAAACAGCGUAAUUACAGGAGAACUAAACGACGGGCUGAACGGGAAAAUCGGACAAGAAGAAGCAAUAAUUUCGGCUUCUGUAGCCAAACCAAACGCUCCCUUAGGGCCCACAAGCGUUUUCAUAACACUAUAAAUACCACCACCCUCUUUUCAUUCUUUCAUCGCAGAAUAAAAAUACUCACUGCACCUUCAACACUUGGUUUUUCGUUCUCUUUCUUUCUGCACUUUCUGUAGCCAUGGCAUCUCAAGCAUUCUCCGUCAGUUUCUUCCUCGCUGCUCUCGUCGCAGCGCUUUUCUUCGCCGUGGCCACCGCUGAAGAAUUGUCUCCGGCCCCGGCACCGGGACCUGAUGCCGGAACAGGCGCUUCCGUGUCAAGCUCGAUGGCCGUGAUUGGAGCGUCGAUUGUGGUUUCAAUGUUCGCGAUAUUGAAGCAGUGAGUUUAUUGGAACGGUGAUCUGAUUGCGAUUGUGUUAUGGAAAGAGAGAAAGAGUUUAUGAUAUGAUGUAAACUGAACCAUUCAUUAAUUGAAAUGGAUUUGGGCAUCAUCUUCAUCAGAAAUAAAGCAGAAAGGGAUAGAGGAAUCUAGUUGGAAGCUUUUAUGAAAA